GAUGAACGCUAUCUACAGGCUUAACACAUGCAAGUCGAGGGGCAGCACAGGGAGCUUGCUCCCGGGUGGCGAGUGGCGCACGGGUGAGUAAUACAUCGGAACGUGUCCUGUUGUGGGGGAUAACUGCUCGAAAGGGUGGCUAAUACCGCAUGAGACCUGAGGGUGAAAGCGGGGGAUCGCAAGACCUCGCGCAAUUGGAGCGGCCGAUGCCCGAUUAGCUAGUUGGUGAGGUAAAGGCCCACCAAGGCGACGAUCGGUAGCUGGUCUGAGAGGACGACCAGCCACACUGGGACUGAGACACGGCCCAGACUCCUACGGGAGGCAGCAGUGGGGAAUUUUGGACAAUGGGGGCAACCCUGAUCCAGCCAUGCCGCGUGCAGGAUGAAGGCCUUCGGGUUGUAAACUGCUUUUGUCAGGGACGAAAAGGACCGUGUUAAUACCAUGGUCUGCUGACGGUACCUGAAGAAUAAGCACCGGCUAACUACGUGCCAGCAGCCGCGGUAAUACGUAGGGUGCAAGCGUUAAUCGGAAUUACUGGGCGUAAAGCGUGCGCAGGCGGUUCUGUAAGACAGAUGUGAAAUCCCCGGGCUCAACCUGGGAAUUGCAUUUGUGACUGCAGGACUAGAGUUCAUCAGAGGGGGGUGGAAUUCCAAGUGUAGCAGUGAAAUGCGUAGAUAUUUGGAAGAACACCAAUGGCGAAGGCGAGUAUCUGGCUAUUAACUGACGCUGAGGCACGAAAGCAUGGGGAUCAAACAGG
rnacentral:rRNA from 1 species